CAGAAAAGCCACGGCUAACUACGUGCCAGCAGCCGCGGUAAUACGUAGGUGGCAAGCGUUAUCCGGAUUUAUUGGGCGUAAAGCGAGCGCAGGCGGUUUUUUAAGUCUGAUGUGAAAGCCCUCGGCUUAACCGAGGAAGUGCAUCGGAAACUGGGAAACUUGAGUGCAGAAGAGGACAGUGGAACUCCAUGUGUAGCGGUGAAAUGCGUAGAUAUAUGGAAGAACACCAGUGGCGAAGGCGGCUGUCUGGUCUGUAACUGACGCUGAGGCUCGAAAGCAUGGGUAGCGAACAGGAUUAGAUACCCUGGUAGUCCAUGCCGUAAACGAUGAAUGCUAGGUGUUGGAGGGUUUCCGCCCUUCAGUGCCGCAGCUAACGCAUUAAGCAUUCCGCCUGGGGAGUACGACCGCAAGGUUGAAACUCAAAGGAAUUGACGGGGGCCCGCACAAGCGGUGGAGCAUGUGGUUUAAUUCGAAGCAACGCGAAGAACCUUACCAGGUCUUGACAUCUUUUGAUCACCUGAGAGAUCAGGUUUCCCCUUCGGGGGCAAAAUGACAGGUGGUGCAUGGUUGUCGUCAGCUCGUGUCGUGAGAUGUUGGGUUAAGUCCCGCAACGAGCGCAACCCUUAUGACUAGUUGCCAGCAUUUAGUUGGGCACUCUAGUAAGACUGCCGGUGACAAACCGGAGGAAGGUGGGGAUGACGUCAAAUCAUCAUGCCCCUUAUGACCUGGGCUACACACGUGCUACAAUGGAUGGUACAACGAGUUGCGAGACCGCGAGGUCAAGCUAAUCUCUUAAAGCCAUUCUCAGUUCGGACUGUAGGCUGCAACUCGCCUACACGAAGUCGGAAUCGCUAGUAAUCGCGUUCAGCCCGCCGA
rnacentral:rRNA from 2 species